GAUGAACGCUGGCGGCGUGCCUAAUACAUGCAAGUCGAGCGAACAGACGAUGCUCUUGCUGCUCUGACGUUACCGGCGGACGGGUGAGUAACACGUGGAUUACCUCCCUCUAAGAGUUGGAUAACUUCGGGAAACCGGAGCUAAUACCAGGUAAUAUAUUUAACCGCAUGGUUCGAUAGUGAAGUACCGUUUUGCUGUGACUUCUAGAUGGAUCCGCGCGUCGUUAGCUAAUUGGUAAGGUAACGGCUUACCAAGGCAACGAUGCGUAGCCGACCUGGGAGGGUGAUCGGCCACAGUGGAACUGAGACACGGUUCAGACUGCGACGGGAGGCAGCAGCAGGGAAGCGGCCGCAGUGGGCGAAAGCCUGACGGAGCAACGAGGCGUGAGUGAUGACGGUCUUCGGAUCGUAAAACUCUGUUAUUAGGGAAGAACAAAUGUGUAAGUAGAUAUGCACGUCGUGACGGUACCGAAACAGGAAGCCACGGCUAACUACGUG
rnacentral:rRNA from 1 species